rnacentral:rRNA from 1 species
AGGCUGCAACUCGCCUACAUGAAGUCGGAAUCGCUGUAAUCGCGGAUCAGCAUGCCGCGGUGAAUACGUUCCCGGGCCUUGUACACACCGCCCGUCACACCAUGAGAGUUUGCAACACCCAAAGCCGGUGGGGUAACCUUUUGGAGCCAGCCGUCUAAGGUGGGACAGAUGAUUGGGGGUGAAGUCGUAACAAGGUAUC